AGAUGUAUAAAAUAAUCAGUUACUCUAAAUCGUGUGUUUAUAUCAUUAAACUUAUUUAACUAAUUUUGGAAAUUUUACUUUUUAAUUUUAAAAAAUAUAGCCACAUGUUAUGUAUACAAAUUUUUGAAAAUAUUUAUAAAUUUUUUGAAAAGAACUAAAUUACAUAAUCGUUAAAAGCUUGAUUUCAAAAUUGAGAUUUUGAAGCGACGUUAAAUUUAACUUUAAAAGUACAUUAUAUACAUAAGCAUAUAAGUAUUUCAAUAUGUAUUAUCAAUCUCACACGGUUAUCCCAGUCACUGUUGGAGUUGCAACUGUAAUAAUUGGAGCCAUUUUCGUUCAUUUUUUUUUUAAAAGAAAGUCGAAUAAUACUAGUUUUGAAAACAAAUUGAAACAGUGGAAAACUUUACAAGAUCCAAACGACAAAUAUAUAUUACCACUAAUUGAAAGUGAAACAUUAAGUCAUGAUACAAGACGGUUUCGUUUUGGAUUGCCAUCGCCAAAUCAUAUUCUAGGUUUACCAGUUGGGCAGCAUGUUCAUUUGAUUGCAACCAUAAAUAAUGAGAUAAUAAUACGACCAUAUACACCUAUUUCAAGUGAUGAUGAUUUAGGAUACGUAGAUUUGGUAAUCAAAGUUUAUUUCAAGAAUGUUCAUCCCAAGUUUCCGGAUGGUGGCAAAAUGUCACAGUAUCUGGAGUCCCUAAAAAUAGGCGAUACAGUGGCAUUCAGAGGACCAUCAGGUCGGUUGCAAUAUUUGGGAUGUGGAAAAUUUUCAAUAAAAAAAUUACGUAAAGAUCCAGCAAAAAUAGUUACUACUAACAAGGUGAACAUGAUAGCUGGAGGAACGGGAAUCACACCAAUGUUGCAACUUAUACGUGAAAUUUUGAAAAAAUGUAAAAAAGACAAAACCGAAUUAGCUUUAUUGUUUGCUAAUCAAACAGAAAGAGACAUUCUGUUAAGAAAAGAACUUGAUCAGUUAGCUGAAGAUCAUCCAACCCAGUUCAAAGUUUGGUACACAGUUGAUCGAGCUGCAGAAGGAUGGAAGUAUAGUUCAGGAUAUGUUAACGACGAAAUUAUGAAAAAAUAUUUAUUUGAACCGGGUGAUGAUGUUCUAGUUUUGUUAUGCGGACCACCGCCCAUGGUAAAUUAUACAUGCAUUCCUGGUCUUGACAGACUAGGCUUUAAUGCAGAUCAGAGAUUUUCUUUUUAAUAAGAAUAUUUUAAUAACAAAUUCAAAAGUAGAAAAUAGUUGUAAUAUUAAAUUUAUCUAAAAUAUCUGCAAGACAUAAUAGUGAAUGUCCCAAAAUAUCUUUAAUUCGCAAUUCUCCGAUAUUUUGGCAAAAAUCUUUAGUUUAAGCAAUUUAUUUAUAAUGGGGGAACCAUAACAAUAAUUUCUUAUAGCUUUAUACAAUUUUUCUGUAAAAUUACUAUUAAUUAUUAAACUUGGAUGUCAUCACUUCAUAAACUCAAACUUCAGGUUGGGAAUUCAGUACCGGCUUUAUAAACGAAGAAAUGGUGCUAAAACAUUUAUUUCCAGCAUCAGAUGAUCCAUUAGUGUUAAUGUGUGGGCCGCCACCUAUGAUUAAUUUUGCAUGUACUCCAGCUCUCGAUAAAUU